rnacentral:rRNA from 1 species
GUAACAAGGUUUCCGUAGGUGAACCUGCGGAAGGAUCAUUAUUGAAUGAACUUGGUGUGGUUGUCGCUGGCCCUCUUGGGGGCAUGUGCACACCUACCAUCCUCAUCUCUCCACCUGUGCACCUCUUGUAGAUUUGGAAUUGAUUAUCCGAGGCAACUCGGUCGUGAGGACUGCUAGCACUUAGCUGGCUUUCUUUGCAAUUCCAGGUCUAUGUUUUUCAUAUACCCCAUUGUAUGUAACAGAAUGUAUCAUUGGGCCCUUGUGCCUAUAAACCUUAUACAACUUUCAGCAACGGAUCUCUUGGCUCUCGCAUCGAUGAAGAACGCAGCGAAAUGCGAUAAGUAAUGUGAAUUGCAGAAUUCAGUGAAUCAUCGAAUCUUUGAACGCACCUUGCGCUCCUUGGUAUUCCGAGGAGCAUGCCUGUUUGAGUGUCAUUAAAUUCUCAACCAUUAUCAACUUUUGCUGAUAAUGGCUUGGAUGUGGGGGUCUAUUUUGCUGGCUUCUCAGAUAGUCAGCUCCCCUUAAAUGCAUUAGCCGGUGCCCCGCGUGGACUGUCUAUUGGUGUGAUAAUUAUCUACGCUAUAGACAUCUGCAAUCAUAUGGGUUUGCGCUGCUUCUAACAGUCUGUUGAUUCRGACAAUACAUGACAAUUUGACCUCAAAUCAGGUAGGACUACCCGCUGAACUUAA